rnacentral:tRNA from 1 species
GGGGUUGUGGCUCAGUGGUAGAGCGCUUGCCUAGCAUGCGUGAGGCCCUGGGUUCGAUCCCCAGCACCACA